AUUCUGACAGUAUCUCUGUUCUCCUCUAUUUCUGUUUUGCUUGCUGUGAACUUUAUCACGGUCAUAUCGAUUUGAUGAGUUGGCACAUCCAAAGCAAGUUUUUACUGGGAUUACAGAUGGAUCAGGACUGCUUGCAUCGUUUGCUUAUCGUUGAUGUCAGAGGAGACUCUGACACCACCCCAGGUCCUGGUCCCCACCCACAGGCCUAUCCUGAGGUACCUGCUGACUUCUCUGCUGUCCAGGUACUGUUUCCUGGCAGAAUACCUGGACAGACACAGGGAAUGCUCCAGUGGACACCAUGUCAAGAAUAUAGGAAAACAAUUACGUCUGGAAGAGAAGCAGAGCACAUUGAAAUAGGCCAGUUUUCUGGUGGAGAAUAUCACAUUUACUGUACUGUCCCAAACUCUCAGCCUUUGCUAAGUGGCCCAAUGGCCCUAGCCAUUUGCAUUCCAGAAGCUGUGGGGAGUGUCAGCCUCAUCCCAGAGCUAAAAGCCAUGUGGGGCCAGGACAGAGAAGGGAACAGAACUCUCAGGAAUAAAAGCAGAAGAGGCCUGAGAGCUAUUUUCUGAGAAGAACCUGCAUUCUACAGAUGGCAUGAAAAAGAAAAAAAAGAAGAAACCGCAGCCUGCAGAGCUCACCAUUAUUCCUGAGAGCCUCUCGGUUCAUUAGCUGGAGCAGCCAGGUCUCCAUGAGCCACAGCUGAUCAGCAAACGGGAAAUGAGCAAGAGCUUAAAUUCCCAACAAACCCAGUCAUUAACAUUUGCUGCCUGCACCCUGCAAAUCCAGUAAAUAAAAUGUGUCAUCAUUCAUCAAGACAAAAUAUCAUUACUAAUUGGGAUUAAUUUGUUGCUGUGGGAUUGCUAACCUUUGCUGAAAGAAAAUAAAACUACUC
rnacentral:lncRNA from 1 species